UACGAAGGGGGCUAGCGUUGCUCGGAAUCACUGGGCGUAAAGCGCACGUAGGCGGAUUGUUAAGUCAGGGGUGAAAUCCUGGAGCUCAACUCCAGAACUGCCUUUGAUACUGGCGAUCUUGAGUCCGGGAGAGGUGAGUGGAACUGCGAGUGUAGAGGUGAAAUUCGUAGAUAUUCGCAAGAAUACCAGUGGCGAAGGCGGCUCACUGGCCCGGUACUGACGCUGAGGUGCGAAAGCGUGGGGAGCAAACAGG
rnacentral:rRNA from 1 species